AGGCAGCAGUAGGGAAUCUUCCGCAAUGGACGAAAGUCUGACGGAGCAACGCCGCGUGAGUGAUGAAGGUUUUCGGAUCGUAAAACUCUGUUGUUAGGGAAGAACAAGUACCGUUCGAAUAGGGCGGCACCUUGACGGUACCUAACCAGAAAGCCACGGCUAACUACGUGCCAGCAGCCGCGGUAAUACGUAGGUGGCAAGCGUUGUCCGGAAUUAUUGGGCGUAAAGCGCGCGCAGGCGGUUUCUUAAGUCUGA
rnacentral:rRNA from 1 species